rnacentral:rRNA from 1 species
AGCAGCCGCGGUAAUUCCAGCUCCAAUAGCGUAUAUUAAAGUUGUUGCAGUUAAAAAGCUCGUAGUUGAAUUUCGGGAUCAGUUGGUCGGUCGUGCCUCGGUACGUACUGGUCAAAUUGAUUCCUACCUUCUGACGAACCACGAUGUCAUUAAUUUGGUGUCGUGGGAAAUCAGGACUGUUACUUUGAGAAAAUUAGAGUGUUUAAAGCAGGCUCGCGCUUGAAUACAUUAGCAUGGAAUAAUGAAAUAGGACGUUUGAUUCUAUUUUGUUGGUUUCUAGGAUCGACGUAAUGAUUAAUAGGGAUAGUUGGGGGCAUUAGUAUUCAAUUGUCAGAGGUGAAAUUCUUGGAUUUAUUGAAGACUAACUACUGCGAAAGCAUUUGCCAAGGAUGUUUUCAUUAAUCAAGAACGAAAGUUAGGGGAUCGAAGACGAUCAGAUACCGUCGUAGU